UAGAAGGAUAUGCUUCCGGGAGCUAUGAAAAGGCAAGACUACGUUUUGCUCAUGCAAAAACUCUACUUCCAUUUUCAUGCUUGCUUGGGCUCUUUCUUGAAGAAUCUGAAUUUGAACUAAUACAAAGAGAGGAGACGUUGCAAUUCCCUCCUAAGCCUCCU